AUGAUCCAUGAGCACUUCCAAGAACUCCUCGGAGAGAAGAGAGCGCGUGCAUGCACCCUGAACUGGGCUGCACUGGAUUUGCCGAGUUUGAAUGCCCAGGGCCUAGACAACCCUUUCUCUGAAGAUGAAGUGUGGGCGGCAGUAUGCGCCUCGCCAGCAGAAAAAGCACCGGGGCCGGACGGUUUUUCAGGCGGCUUCUUCAGAUCAUGCUGGCAAACAAUAAAAGAAGACGUCAUGGCAGUGUUCCACAAAUUCCAUAGCUUGGCUGCGGGUGAUUUUGUGGCUAUCAACAAGGCUCUGAUUGUGCUCUUGCCAAAGAAAAAUGGUGCAACCCAAGUAGGGGACUAUCGCCCAAUAAGUCUCAUUCACUCAGUGGCAAAGUUGAUCGCCAAGGUGCUAUCGAUCAGGCUCUCAAGUGUCAUGAGCCAGCUUAUUUCACCUAUGCAGAACGCUUUACAAAAGAAAAAAGGAAUUCAUGACAACUUCUUAUAUGUCUGCAACACAGUGAAGCACUUACACUGCAAAAAUAAGCCAGCUCUGCUCCUCAAACUAGACAUCGCUAGGGCUUUCGAUAGUGUUUCAUGGGAGUACCUGCUCGAGCUGAUGCAACAGCUUGGACUCCCGGCGAGGUGGCGAGACUGGAUCGCCCUGCUCCUGUCGACAUCAUCCUCCUCCUGUCUGCUAAAUGGCAUCAAAGGUGACAGCAUUCGUCACAUGAAGGGCCUACGCUAG
rnacentral:rRNA from 1 species